rnacentral:lncRNA from 1 species
AAAGUGUUGAAAGUUCAAAAAUUAUUUUUGGUCUUCUAUAUUUGAGCCGAAAUUUUAGGUUUUGAAGGUUUUUCUUCUCUCUUUGUUGAAGAUUUGCUAUUCUAAUUUGUUAUUUGGUUAGUUAUUAGUUGGUGAUGAAUGGUAAGUGUUCGAACGUGUUAUUUUGUUCUUUGUGAACUGUGUUGUUUUCAUUUGACGUUAAAGCUGAAUGUUUAGAAUUUUAAUGUCCUUGUGGCUUUAUUUAUUACACUUAUUGUCUUUACUAAUUUUGUUGUUGGUGACCUCAAGAUUUAAUCUUGGAAGGCAUUUUCUUGUUGUUGAAGUGUUGGUAGUUCGAAAAUGCUUUUUAAUCUUCUAUACUUAAGUUGAAAAUUAGGCUUUGAAGGUUUUUUUCUCCAUUUUUUGGUUGAAAAUUUACAGUUUCAAUUUAUUAUUUGUUUUUUUUAUUAGUUGAUGAUGAAGAGUAAGGGUUCGAAUGUGUUAUUUUUUAUGUGUUAUUUUUUUCUCUAUGACUUGUAUUAUUUUUGUUUGAAGUUAAAGCUAAAUAUUUAGGAUUUUUAUGUCCUUGUGGUUUCAUUUCUUGCACUUAUUGUGUUUAAUCUCUCUGAGUAUUCAUUCAUUUCUUGAUCGCCUAAAAAUUCUUGUGUUUAUACUGAUUUUUUUGUUGUCCAAGUGCAUUUUACUUAUAGAAACAUACAUGCAACUUAUUGUCUUGGUAUUCACUUUCUAUAGUCGAAAAAUUACAUGCCAUCUCAUGAUUUCUAUGUCCAAUGUGCCUACAAGUGCAUCUUUUCGUCUUCUAUUUCAUAUUUAAGUUCAAGAUUUACCCUUUAAACCUGUUAUUUUUCUGUGAGGUUGAGAAUUAGUCUUCGAAGGCAGUUGAGACAGAAAAAUUAAUUGGUAGGUGCGACAAAAGUGAAGAAUCUGGAAUAAUUUAUCCAAAGGUAAGUAAAAUUUAAAUUCAAUUAGAAAUCUGAAUAUUUUUUUUUUACAUGUAUUUUUAUGCAUUUUUUUUCUUUAUGCCUAUGAGAUUAUGAGAGUAAGGCAUGUUUUUAUAGUUUCUUUGAAGCUCGAGAAUUCUUUCUUAGAUAAUGGAGAUUUUUUAUAGCAGGUUUGACCUAUAACUUAAUGCUUGUUUUUUUAUGACAACGCUAAGACUUGUCUUUAGUCCAUUAAUAUGAAUAUUACAAUAUUGCAUAUGUUGAGUGAUAUUUGGCAUUACAACGUUGAAAUUUAAUUCAGGAUCAUCUAUGCCAUUUGAUAUUAUUGUGGUUGAUAUGUCAACAUUUUAAAAUUUGUCUCACUGCUUCUUGAUAGUGUUGUCUAGUCCAUUAUUGCAUUUUUUUACUUCAUGAUUCUUCACGUUUUAAGAAAAAUUCUGAAUUUUGGUGCCUUUAUUCAAUCUGUUUGACUGUGGG